GCCUUUGGUCUGUUCCUCUGCAGUCUGCCAGGCCAGGGGUCGUACGUAGCCGUAGUGAUAUUGAACAGCUGACUAAGUGCUUCACUGUCCUGAGCUAAACUUAGCUUUGACAAUACCAGCCACCAGCACACUCGUAUGCUCCCCAUGUUACAAUGAAGCACAGGGUAAAUGGUGUAGAGUUACUGCAGAUGGCUGUACUGCGUGAGUUGCACCGUCCACACAAGAUUUGAUAGAAUCUGGAGAACUUUAAGCAGUCACUUUGCUCAUCAUCACCUUGGCAUUACUCUGUCGCCAUGGGCAACGUUAACUCCGCCCUCACUGCUGACAUUGAAGAUUUUGAUUCAAUUGUGUCUGUGUCGGAGAGACUGAAUGAGCUGGCCACCCAUGUGGCAGAUGAGAGACUGCAGGCACAGCUUUUGUCUCUGGAAAGUAUUCUUCUAUGGUGGUCUUCUACAUAUGUUCAUGUUUUAGACAUGUUAACACUAUUGUAUACAUAAAACACUGUAUGCCACAUUCAAAUUGAUCUAUCACAGGAACUUAAU